UGCCUUUGUGUUGCCUGUUCAUUCCACGUGUUGUGAAUAUGGUGUCAACUAAGGCAUACAGUAACUCUUGUGGUGGGUUUUCACAGAGGUGUCCAGAGUGGCAUCUUGAGGGCUACCACAAGGACAUAA